AUGACCUUUUAAAACGACUUCUACUAAAGUCAUCAACUAAAACCUUCGUGUUUCGUUUAGGUGGAUCUGUUGAGCGUGGAUUCGAUCGAGGGGCAUAACCGAGUAUCAGGUAAGGGCACAGCGAGGGGCAGACCGACGAGAGGCAGGAAGGACGCGUGAAGGCCAUAUGGACGCGUCUGGUUUUCUUAUCGCUUCCGCUAUGUAUUUUGUCAGAAUAUUUUGACUUGUGAUUUUGAACUGGUGACUUGAGUUUUUAUUUGUGA